UGGGUCACAGAUUGCUGGCACACUCAUCCCUGUUCUAAAAUAUCUUUUAAACUUGGGUGAAGUGAUAAGUAGGGGAAGAUGAUUUACUGAAAGGAUGUCCCCUUUCACAAAAUUGUAUGUGUUUGUGUCUGAGAGAGAGAAAUGGAGACAGACAGAAAGACGAAGAAGCAGAAGAGAGCCCCCUCAGAAGAGAGCUAGUUAAGCAUCCCAGACUGACUAAGACAGUGGAGAAUGCCUCUGAGUUUGGCACUGAUUGCCUGGAGAAUGCUGAAACCCAGGGAAGUGGGCAGCACAGACGUUUACUCAUUUAAUCCUGCCAACACAGUAGGAGAUAGAGUCUACAUAUUCCUCGCUACUUAAAAGAUCCCUGCCUUCUCUCUGCUCCUCCUGUCCAUCUCUCUCCCUCCACUUUUCCCCUCCUCCCCUCCUUCUCCCAUCUCCCUCCCUCGCUUCCCCA